rnacentral:lncRNA from 1 species
UCCACAAACACUAUGCCUACAUUGUUCAACAUUCCAUGGUGUUGAUCAUUGACAUCAGGUGUGUCAUCUGCUCUUUGUUUUGUUGCUGAUUCCCUCCUUCAUCUCCACCUAAAUCUCCUUGGGGAGCUUGCACGUGAAGGGGUGGUCUCUACCAUUGUUUCUGCCCCCUCCACCUAUUGUUGUUGGGGAAAGGCCCAUUCAUCAGCACCUACUUCAUUCAUGGAACAAAUUGUGUCAUUCAUGGAACAUCAUUCAUGCUACAAAUCCAGAUAAAUCCAGAUAAACCCAUGUUUCAGAAUUCCCUGCGCUUAAAUCUUGUAAGUUGCAAUGCGUUAGUUAUCAAGAUCCAUUGAUAAA